rnacentral:rRNA from 1 species
GGUGUCUGGUUGGUUGGUGGAACGAUUUGUGUAGUUAAUUUCGAUAACAAACGAGACUCUAGCUAAUAAAUUGGUGUGUGGUGCUCUGCACCUUCCACAUUUCUUAGAGGGACAAGCGGCUCCUAACCGCACGAAACAAAGCAAUAACAGGUCUGUGAUACC